rnacentral:rRNA from 1 species
GAUGAACGCUGGCGGCGUGCCUAAUACAUGCAAGUCGAGCGAGCAGACGAGGAGCUUGCUCCUCUGACGUUAGCGGCGGACGGGUGAGUAACACGUGGAUAACCUACCUAUAAGACUGGGAUAACUUCGGGAAACCGGAGCUAAUACCGGAUAAUAUAUUGAACCGCAUGGUUCAAUAGUGAAAGACGGUUUUGCUGUCACUUAUAGAUGGAUCUGCGCCGCAUUAGCUAGUUGGUAAGGUAACGGCUUACCAAGGCAACGAUGCGUAGCCGACCUGAGAGGGUGAUCGGCCACACUGGAACUGAGACACGGUCCAGACUCCUACGGGAGGCAGCAGUAGGGAAUCUUCCGCAAUGGGCGAAAGCUUGACGGAGCAACGCCGCGUGAGUGAUGAAGGUCUUCGGAUCGUAAAACUCUGUUAUUAGGGAAGAACAAAUGUGUAAGUAACUAUGCACGUCUUGACGGUACCUAAUCAGAAAGCCACGGCUAACUACGUG